rnacentral:lncRNA from 1 species
AAACUACACUAUAAAUCAACCUAUACCACUUAUAUUUUUUCGCUAAUUUUUCUUAAAUUUUAUGAAUUCUCACCAAAUUUAUUGACCCUGCUGUGGUCAUGUUGUUAACAUUCUUGUGGAGGUCACGGUUACUGCGGCGAUACCCGCCGUUUCGCGAACCCUGGUGACAAUGGAUGAAGCACACCGUCGUUCGUCCUGCCUGCCAUGGUGAAUGCGCUGGGACGCGCUCAACAUUGGGACAUACGCAUGAUCACGUGACUUGUGGAUUGAUUCUGCAAGGUGCGAGACUCAACGAUUGAAGCAUCCAAUCAAGAGGUUGCUGAGUGUGAAAUUCUCCAUGGUAAGUUUCAUUUCCUGGUGCCUUCCACUCGCAGCAGUGCCAUUGUAGCAUGUGAAUAUGUUAGAUGAUCAUGUUCAAACUGCUAGCAGGAGUAGCACUUGUAAACAAGAUGUUCAGGAGUAGCACUUGUGAACAAGAUGUUAGAAAAAUAGAGCAAAAUGUAGGCAUAUAU